rnacentral:pre_miRNA from 1 species
UAUUAAAAAAUUUAUUCAUUUGUAUUGUUAAAAACUAACGUGGUUGAUCGGAUAAAUAAACAUUGACACGUAGUAUGUCGUGUGUACCUUGUAUUGACGUACAAUGACCAGUUUUUAACAGCAGAAACGAAUAAAAGUUACCC